rnacentral:rRNA from 1 species
UACGCAGGGGGCUAGCGUUGUUCGGAUUUACUGGGCGUAAAGCGCACGUAGGCGGACUAUUAAGUCAGGGGUGAAAUCCCGGGGCUCAACCCCGGAACUGCCUUUGAUACUGGUAGUCUUGAGUUCGAGAGAGGUGAGUGGAAUUCCGAGUGUAGAGGUGAAAUUCGUAGAUAUUCGGAGGAACACCAGUGGCGAAGGCGGCUCACUGGCUCGAUACUGACGCUGAGGUGCGAAAGCGUGGGGAGCAAACAGG